CCGCUCGUCUCUGCGCAGCCAUGAGGUAAACCAGCCUUUCGCCUGCGGGCGCUGCCGGCUCUCCGGGCGCCGGGCGAAGAGCCCGGCUGUGGGACAGCAGGCCGAGCGCUGGGUGAGGUCGAGGCGUAGCGCCGCGUGAGCAGCAGCGGCGCUCCCGGCCUCCGGUGGGCUCGGUGGCUGGGACUGCAGAGAUCCAGCUCGCCCCGGUCUCGGGCAGCAACUGGAAGAGGAUUAUCGGAAUUGCCAUUUUGCUUUUGCCUGCCUAAGUUCCACGUAUAUCUUGUCCUAAAGUGCAUCACGUCUGCCUUUUUUAUAAAAGGCUGCGAGAUUAAAAGACUGUGGGGUUCGUGGAUGAAAACCGCUCUGUGAGACUUAGGCUGUUUGAGUUACUAUUUUUGGGAGCCUAACUCCACACCAGCCAUGGGCUGCCAGCUGGUGCUGCAGAGCAGAGUCAUCCUCUUGCUGAGCUGAACCUGGCUGUAGGCUUAUGUUACUGUGUUGCCUGGAACUGAAGAAACACCCUUCUCGUGUUCUCACAGUGUAGCCUGCGGUGCGGCAGGAGCUACCAGAGCCAUAAGGAUAGCAGGAGGCAAUGGCAGCUCUCUCUAGUCUCCUUUCUCCUCCUGCCCACAGCAGCAGCAACCCUCCAAGAGUGAAGCCCAGCAAGGAAAACUCUUUCCUAACAGCUGGUCAACGUUUAAGGCAGCCUCUGGACACCUUUUUCUUGGAGGUUUCAGGUGCCAUUUCAGAGCAGAGCUUCCCAAGCCUUCUUGUCUGAGCAGCACUGCCAGCAGCAGUAGUGCCAGCAGGUGUCACGCCUGGAAAGACACUGGAACACACCUCACUUGGGACUUGUCUAUCCUGAAUAUUGCAGAAAACUGUACAUGCUGCCUGGGAUCCACUGCAUCAGGAAAUCCUGAUCUCUUUCCUUCCAUCUGUUGGUGAAUGGGGAAAGGAAAGGCAAUCUCAGUUGGCUUUACUUGCAUACCCUCAUUAGUCAGGAUUCCUUCAGUGUCACACUGUGAGUCACCCUUGAGUCAGAAUUAGCUUAAUAAACUGAAGUAAGGGAAGAUUCAAGAAAGACUAUGAGUAAAGAGGCUGCUGGGGGACUCCAGGUGAUUUGUGCUCCUUGUCACCAUCUGAGAUACUUCUGUCAAUAAGACUUCUCGGUGAGAGAAGAAAUUAUGGCUGAAAACUUUAUGCUACCAGAUUGAGCUAAGGACACUUCUUUGUAGAAUAAGAUGCUGGCCAUUGCCUCCCUUCCCUAGCCAUUAAUGACUAAUUCUUACCUCAGUUUUCUGAUCUCCUUUUUGUGCAGUCUUUCCCCAUUUCAUUAUUGAUCUCUCUUCCCAAUCUGUUGGUUGUACUGUUUUUGUCCCUAAAUUAAUUUCCUUCCUUUUGUCCACUCUGGCCUCCAUAUCCAUCUUUAAAACACACAUUUUCUAAUGAUCCUUCUUAUCUUAACCAUGAACACUAAUACCAUCUGUUCCUUUAACACCUGUCCCAUGUUCUGACUACCUUAAACUGGGAAUAGACCAUGUGUUGUUCCAGGAUGCACAAUGCUAGAAACUGCACUGCACUAGGAACAAAUACGACAAUUAAUUUUUCACUUUUUUUGAGCAUGAAAAAGAAAGAUCCACCUAUUUUGAUGUAAGAGCCUUCCUUUUCAGUUAAAAAGAAAAAAAAAAGAGAAAAAAAGAAUGACUGUAAAACAAUGGCCCAGAAAUCCCAACAUGUUCUUGGGUGAUGGAAGUUAAGCAAACCUCACUUCUGCUUUAGUGAUCACCUCUGUCUUAGUCUAAAAAAUCCCUGCCUCUGUGGAGAGUUGCCAUACCCCUUCAAAUAUCUAGGCCAUUUCCUGUCAUCUUGUUGUCACUUAACAACUAUGUUUGUUGAGACAUGUCUCAUCUUGAAGCAUUUUCCUUCCCUUUCUACUGUUUUUAUAGGUGUCAUAAUUUAUGAGGUACAUUUAUGUAGGUGCCUCAUAAAUUAAAUAUUUUAAUAUUUAUGGGUGCAUGUGUUUGAUAACACCUCAGCGGCAGUACAUCUUCUUUUAAAGCAAGUACAUCUUCUGUCAUUGUCAGACAAAUACAUAUGCAAGAUUAGACAAGAGAAUCUCUCUUAGUAACAUUCUUUCUGUACAAAUAUUUUUAUUUUUCCUUUUAUUUUGUUUUGGUUUAGUCAAAACAGCGUGGAGAAUAGUUUACCUGCAUUCCAGUUUUAUUGCUGCUCUUUCUGUUCUGCUGAACUCUGCAAGUUGUCUCCAAAAAUACUGUCUGACAAGGAAAUUGUUUCCACACUGUUUUCUGCUUUCACCCACAAGAAUCUGUCAACCAAAUCCACCAAAAACUGACUGCGAUAACAAAAUAGUUUGAUUACAGCUAGCGUAAAACAGGACCAUUUAAUCAACGUCAAUGGUUGUACCAGGUUGACUUUCAUCAGUUAAAGGCUUGGCUCAAAAUGUCGCUUGUGUGUAAAGAUGUCUAGAAUAAUCUGUGCAUAUCAGAUGUGAAAACUAAAUUUUAAAUUUUAAUUCAAUCCUACACACACUUAAAUACAUGCCUUUUAAAAAUUAAUUUAAAAAUACAGGAAUCAGUAGAACUGCUUCCACACUUAAAAUUAACCACACGCUUAAGCAGCUGGCAGGAUGAGAGCAACAAAAAUGCUACAAGCCAAAGCACUGAAUUCCUUUGCCUUUUUUGAUAGCCUCUGAUCUUUCAUCUACUACAAGGAUGACACAUGAAGGAAAUUGUUUGCUCUCAAUGCACUAACCGACAUGGGUUUUUUUGCUUGUGUUGCUUUGACUUAGCAUAAACAGCAAACGCGUUUUCAGCAAUGAAAGAGUAAUAUAUCUUCAGGCUCUUUGAAAUGCAGAAAACAGAAGAGGUCAAUUAUUACUGCAGAUGCACUGCUUCUUCACGGAUGAUACCGUCAGAAUAAAAGUGAUGCUCUUCUCAAAAGUCAGCAUUUUGAUACAAACCAAUGUCCUUCUAAUUUAAAAGAAAUAGUUAUACACAUGUACAAAACCAUAAAGAAGAUGAGUAUCUAGAUAUGUUUCUCUUUUUU